rnacentral:rRNA from 1 species
ACGAACGCUGGCGGCGUGCUUAACACAUGCAAGUCGAACGGAAAGGCCCUGCUUUUGUGGGGUGCUCGAGUGGCGAACGGGUGAGUAACACGUGAGUAACCUGCCCUUGACUUUGGGAUAACUUCAGGAAACUGGGGCUAAUACCGGAUAGGAGCUCCUGCUGCAUGGUGGGGGUUGGAAAGUUUCGGCGGUUGGGGAUGGACUCGCGGCUUAUCAGCUUGUUGGUGGGGUAGUGGCUUACCAAGGCUUUGACGGGUAGCCGGCCUGAGAGGGUGACCGGCCACAUUGGGACUGAGAUACGGCCCAGACUCCUACGGGAGGCAGCAGUGGGGAAUAUUGCACAAUGGGCGGAAGCCUGAUGCAGCAACGCCGCGUGCGGGAUGACGGCCUUCGGGUUGUAAACCGCAUUCGCUCAUGACGAAGCUUUGUGUGACGGUAGUGGGUAAAGAAGCACCGGCUAACUACGUGC